GCGAGCUUGGCGGAAUGGUAGACGCACGAGACUUAAAAUCUCGAGUUCUCAGGGACGUGCGGGUUCGAGUCCCGCAGCUCGCACCA
rnacentral:tRNA from 2 species